rnacentral:lncRNA from 1 species
GUUUGGUGUGACCCUGGAGUCAAGAAAAAAUGCCUUCUGCAAGACACGAGGCAGCCUCUGAGGGGAAAACAAUUCUAAUGAGAAAGGUAGUUUGAGCAGCCUGCUUAAUUCAUAGUAUUAAUUGAAGGAGUUAGGAGCACAGGAAGAUAAAAAUAAAACAUUUUCUCAGCUGCUGUCACAGAUGUGAAUCUUCAUGCAGCAAGAACACUUCAACUGGUAACACACAAAUACAGAGGUGACAGCAAGUGCUUGGAGCCUUGUUUAAUUGAGCAAGAGAAGGAAGGCAUCUCUGGUAUAUUUGAAGGUCUUCUGAGUAAUUAUUUGAGAGGCUCGGACUGCAGAGAGCUGUUUAUCCUAACCUAAGAUCCUGCUGUCCUUGCCAGAUGGCAACAAAAUAACAAGCAACACUGCUGAUGGAAGCAAGAAAAUACGGACAUAUGCACCUGCUCUUCCUACUGCUUCAGUGAUAAAAUAUUACUCAUUUUACCAACCAUGAUUGGAUUAAGCAACAGUUUUGCCAUGAGAAAUCAGCACCUGCUUUUUAUGGCUUAAAUAAAAAUAUAAUGCUGCUCUGAUUGCCUGAGACA